rnacentral:misc_RNA from 1 species
GAUGAAGAACGUAGCGAAAUGCGAUAUGUAAUGUGAAUUGCAGAAUUCAGUGAAUCAUCGAAUCUUUGAACGCACAUGGCGCCUUCCAGUAUCCUGGGAGGCAUGCCUGUCCGAGCGUCGUUUCAACCCUCGAGCCCCCGUGGCCCGGCGUUGGGGAUCUGCCCAGGCAGUCCCCGAAAACCAGUGGCGGACCCGUUACAGGCCCUUCCCUUGCGUAGUAGCAUUCGCCUCGCAUCGGGAGCCGGCGGGCUUCCAGCCUCUAAACCCCCAUCAAGUCCACCCGGCGGCACCAAGGUUGACCUCGGAUCAGGUAGGAAUACCCGCUGAACUUAAGCAUAUCAUAAGCGGAGGA